GAUGAACGCUGGCGGCGUGCCUAAUACAUGCAAGUCGAGCGAACGGACGAGAAGCUUGCUUCUCUGAUGUUAGCGGCGGACGGGUGAGUAACACGUGGAUAACCUACCUAUAAGACUGGGAUAACUUCGGGAAACCGGAGCUAAUACCGGAUAAUAUUUUGAACCGCAGGGUUCAAAAGUGAAAGACGGUCUUGCUGUCACUAAUAGAUGGAUCCGCGCUGCAUUAGCUAGUUGGUAAGGUAACGGCUUUCCAAGGCAACGAUGCAUAGCCGACCUGAGAGGGUGAUCGGCCACACUGGAACUGGGACGCGGUCCAGACUCCUACGGGAGGCCGCAGUCGGGAAUCUUCCGCAAUUGGCGAAAGCCUGACGGAACAACGCCGCGUGAGUGAUGAAGGUCUUCGGAUCGUAAAACUCUGUUAUUAGGGAAGAACAUAUGUGUAAGUAACUGUGCACAUCUUGACGGUACCUAAUCAGAAAGCCACGGCUAACUACGUG
rnacentral:rRNA from 1 species